rnacentral:rRNA from 1 species
GAUGAACGCUAGCUACAGGCUUAACACAUGCAAGUCGAGGGGCAGCAUGGUCUUAGCUUGCUAAGGCCGAUGGCGACCGGCGCACGGGUGAGUAACACGUAUCCAACCUGCCGUCUACUCUUGGACAGCCUUCUGAAAGGAAGAUUAAUACAAGAUGGCAUCAUGAGUCCGCAUGUUCACAUGAUUAAAGGUAUUCCGGUAGACGAUGGGGAUGCGUUCCAUUAGAUAGUAGGCGGGGUAACGGCCCACCUAGUCUUCGAUGGAUAGGGGUUCUGAGAGGAAGGUCCCCCACAUUGGAACUGAGACACGGUCCAAACUCCUACGGGAGGCAGCAGUGAGGAAUAUUGGUCAAUGGGCGAGAGCCUGAACCAGCCAAGUAGCGUGAAGGAUGACUGCCCUAUGGGUUGUAAACUUCUUUUAUAAAGGAAUAAAGUCGGGUAUGCAUACCCGUUUGCAUGUACUUUAUGAAUAAGGAUCGGCUAACUCCGUGCCAGCAGCCGCGGUAAUACGGAGGAUCCGAGCGUUAUCCGGAUUUAUUGGGUUUAAAGGGAGCGUAGAUGGAUGUUUAAGUCAGUUGUGAAAGUUUGCGGCUCAACCGUAAAAUUGCAGUUGAUACUGGAUAUCUUGAGUGCAGUUGAGGCAGGCGGAAUUCGUGGUGUAGCGGUGAAAUGCUUAGAUAUCACGAAGAACUCCGAUUGCGAAGGCAGCCUGCUAAGCUGCAACUGACAUUGAGGCUCGAAAGUGUGGGUAUCAAACAGGAGUAGAUACCCUGGUAGUCCACACGGUAAACGAUGAAUACUCGCUGUUUGCGAUAUACAGCAAGCGGCCAAGCGAAAGCGUUAAGUAUUCCACCUGGGGAGUACGCCGGCAACGGUGAAACUCAAAGGAAUUGACGGGGCCCGCACAAGCGGAGGAACAUGUGGUUUAAUUCGAUGAUACGCGAGGAACCUUACCCGGGCUUAAAUUGCAGAUGAAUUACGGUGAAAGCCGUAAGCCGCAAGGCAUCUGUGAAGGUGCUGCAUGGUUGUCGUCAGCUCGUGCCGUGAGGUGUCGGCUUAAGUGCCAUAACGAGCGCAACCCUUGUUGUCAGUUACUAACAGGUCAUGCUGAGGACUCUGACAAGACUGCCAUCGUAAGAUGUGAGGAAGGUGGGGAUGACGUCAAAUCAGCACGGCCCUUACGUCCGGGGCUACACACGUGUUACAAUGGGGGGUACAGAGGGCCGCUACCACGCGAGUGGAUGCCAAUCCCCAAAACCUCUCUCAGUUCGGACUGGAGUCUGCAACCCGACUCCACGAAGCUGGAUUCGCUAGUAAUCGCGCAUCAGCCACGGCGCGGUGAAUACGUUCCCGGGCCUUGUACACACCGCCCGUCAAGCCAUGGGAGCCGGGGGUACCUGAAGUGCGUAACCGCGAGGAGCGCCCUAGGGUA